rnacentral:lncRNA from 1 species
AUAAGUGCCACAGUUGGUGAAGUUUCUGAUUAGCUGCGGAUCAUGGUGCCUACGGACAGCACAUGAUUUUGUAAUGAUAGACCAUGUUAGCAAGAAGUUUGGAGGCCCCUGCAACAGAGAUGCAUUCCUUAUUUAGAAGCU